ACUUUAGAAUAAGGACUUUGUUUUAUGGUUUUAAGGAAAUUUGAAAGUCCUAAUUCACAAGUCAUUUUUCUUUUAUCUUGAGUUUCUUGUAUUCCUAAGGGUAACAAUAACUCAAGAUUUAAAUUGCCAUAUUUUGAAAAGGUUUUCAUGGAAUAUGGGAGGGAAAUUGACUUGAAAGAGAAGAGUUAAAAAUGAUUGGAAAAGAUUUAAAAGAUUGAAAACCUUCCCUUUUAAGAUUGGGUUCCUUGGUUGGAGUCAAAGUUACUAUUAAUAGCACUUCCUCCCUUUCUUUCUUUUCCCUUUCUUGUUUUUCUCUCCUUCUCUUAUCCUCUUCUAUUAUCUCUCUUUCUAUUCUCUCUCUUUCUCUUCUCUGUUCUUCUU
rnacentral:lncRNA from 1 species